rnacentral:rRNA from 1 species
UACGUAGGGUGCAAGCGUUAAUCGGAAUUACUGGGCGUAAAGCGUGCGCAGGCGGUUUUGUAAGUCUGUCGUGAAAGCCCCGGGCUCAUCCUGGGAAUUGCGAUGGAGACUGCAAGGCUUGAAUCUGGCAGAGGGGGGUAGAAUUCCACGUGUAGCAGUGAAAUGCGUAGAGAUGUGGAGGAACACCGAUGGCGAAGGCAGCCCCCUGGGUCAAGAUUGACGCUCAUGCACGAAAGCGUGGGGAGCAAACAGG